AACAAACGCUGGCGGCGUGCCUAACACAUGCAAGUCGUACGAGAAAGGGUCCUUCGGGGCCUGAGAAAAGUGGCGCACGGGUGAGUAACGCGUGGAUAAUCUGCCCUUCAGUUGGGAAUAACUCAUCGAAAGGUGGGCUAAUACCGAAUAAUGCUGUGAGACCUCGGUUGAUCAGCCAAAGAGAGCCUCUGCUUGCAAGCCCUCGCUGAUGGAUGAGUCCGCGUACCAUUAGCUAGUUGGUAGGGUAAUGGCCGACCAAGGCGACGAUGGUUAGCUGGUCUGAGAGGAUGAUCAGCCACACUGGAACUGAGACACGGUCCAGACUCCUACGGGAGGCAGCAGUGAGGAAUCUUGCGCAAUGGGGGCAACCCUGACGCAGCAACGCCGCGUGAGUGAGGAAGGUCUUCGGAUCGUAAAGCUCUGUCGGAUGGAAAGAACCGCAUAGGGGUAAACAGCCCCUGUGUCUGACGGUACCAUCAAAGGAAGCACCGGCUAACUCCGUGCCAGCCGCCGCCGUAAGAC
rnacentral:rRNA from 1 species